CGGGCAGAGGUGCAGAUGGGAGCACGCCUGCUUUGGGAGCAGGAGGAUCUCGGUUCGACCCCGAGGUGCCCGA
rnacentral:tRNA from 2 species